rnacentral:lncRNA from 1 species
ACGCACACCGGUCUCCUAGGGGACUGGCGCCUGGCCCUGCUUUUCAUCCUCUCAGGAGAUCACGUGUGGACACUGAGGCCCUUCCUCGAGCUCUUUAACCAAACCCAACCUCCCCAAUUCGCCGCCUUCCCCGCUCCCACAACCACACGUUCCCGUGUGAGGGCUUAUUGCCUCCAGCCAGCCAGCGUCCUUCGCCCCCACAUUCACGAGGUUUGGAGCCGGCCUCACCCGCGGAGGCGGACACCGCCCACCCGCGCGUGCGCACUACGCAGUCAUCCUGCGACCUCCAGAAUCCACCGGGGUGCAGCGAGGCUGUGGAAAGUCCCACCCAGAACGUGAGUUUUAACUUCUAGUCAUGGCGAAUGAUCGCAGGAGAGCACAGACUGGACCCUGCUACGAUCUCUCUUGGAGUGGAUCAGACUGAUGAUCACCAACAACCAACUCAUUCCCGGAUAAGGAAGAAGAGAGUGUCACCUACUUCAGUG